UUACGGCCACAUCAUGUUGAUGCACAGGUUCUCGCACGAUCACCGAAUUUAAGCAAUGGUGAGCCUAGUCAGUAUCUAGAUGGGUGACCACUUGUGAAUACCAGGUGCUGCAAG